AGAGUUUGAUCAUGGCUCAGAACGAACGCUGGCGGCGUGGAUAAGACAUGCAAGUCGGACGAGAUUUUUCGUUGUAGCAAUACGAUGGAAAGUCUAGUGGCGAACGGGUGCUUAACACGUGGGCAAUCUGUCUUAAAGUGGGGGGAUAGCUCGGCGAAAGCCGAAUUAAUACCGCAUGUGAUUAGAGUGGACAUCCAUUCAAAAUUAAAGUCGGGGCAACCUGACGCUUUUUGAGGAGCCCGCGGCCUAUCAGCUAGUUGGUGAGGUAACGGCUCACCAAGGCUUUGACGGGUAGCUGGUCUGAGAGGACGACCAGCCACACUGGGACUGAGACACGGCCCAGACACCUACGGGUGGCAGCAGUCGAGAAUUUUUCUCAAUGGGGGAAACCCUGAAGGAGCGACGCCGCGUGGAGGAUGAAGGUCUUCGGAUUGUAAACUCCUGUCAUUGGGGAACAAGGUGCAUACGUUAACUGCGUGUGCAUUGAUAGUACCCGAAGAGGAAGAGACGGCUAACUCUGUGCCAGCAGCCGCGGUAAUACAGAGGUCUCAAGCGUUGUUCGGAUUCAUUGGGCGUAAAGGGUGCGUAGGCGGCGCGGUAAGUCGGGUGUGAAAUCUCGGAGCUUAACUCCGAAACUGCAUUCGAUACUGCCGUGCUCGAGGACUGGAGAGGAGACUGGAAUUUACGGUGUAGCGGUGAGAUGCGUAGAUAUCGUAAGGAAGACCAGUGGCGAAGGCGGGUCUCUGGACAGUUCCUGACGCUGAGGCACGAAGGUCAGGGGACAAACGGGAUUAGAUACCCUAGUAGUCC
rnacentral:rRNA from 1 species